CCUACGGGGGGCUGCAGUGGGGAAUAUUGCACAAUGGGCGGAACCCUGAUGCAGCGACGCCGCGUGAGCGAUGAAGUAUUUCGGUAUGUAAAGCUCUAUCAGCCGGGGAGAAAAUGCCGGUACCUGACUAAGAAGCCCCGGCUAACUACGUUCCAGCAGCCGAGGUAAUACGGCGGGGGCCAGCGUUAUCCGGAUUUACUGGGUUUAAAGGGAGCGUAGACGGCUGUGCAAGUGUGGAGUGAAAGGCAUGGGCUCAACCUGUGGACUGCGUUGGAAACUGUGCGGCUUGAGUGUCGGAGAGGCAAGUGGAAUUCCUAGUGUAGCGGUGAAAUGCGUAGAUAUUAGGAGGAACACCAGUGGCGAAGGCGGCAUGCUGGACGAUGACUGACGCUGAGGCUCGAAAGCGUGGGGAGCAAACAGGAUUAGAUACCCCGGUAGUC
rnacentral:rRNA from 1 species